UUGUUGAAGACACCGCAGAAACAGUCCAGAUGCCCCUGUGCUGGACCUGGUCUGAAUGACCCCUCCCUUCAGACUAGCUUUCAUGGUACCAGAAGGUGCAUGCAAGUUUCCAAAGGAGGCAACUAAUAGGCUAACCCAGCUUUGAUGCCUAUGAACCACAUCAACAACCAGCACGGUGUAAAAACCCCACAGAGGUGCAGUAGUCACACACAUAUCUUGGCAGUAACCAAUGGCUAAGUGGACUUAAGACCUGCCCAACAAGAGAUACAUGUCUGGUACUGGAAACCUCGCUAACUUUUAAGUGCUUAUGGCCCAUGGUGAUUGGUGGAGAAUCUACAGCCACUAACUUGCUAAACCAGCAUAAUCCCUAACAGCAAUCUGUAAACGUUUGUCCUUGUGCCCACAGAUAAGUGCAACCUUCAUCCCUCAUCAAGGGAAGUUCUCUUUUCAAUAGACAGAGACCAUUGCGGAAAACCUCAACCAGUUAGUAUAAAAAGGUGUAAAGCCCAUUCGUCCCCAGUGGAUACAUUUACAAAACACUCCCGGACCUGAGGACCAGGGAACGUUGCAGAAGACAGGGGGAAAGACUGUGAGAACCAGAGGAUCAUUUUGAUGUGAGAUUGUGUCUCCUACUGACACCAGAAGCUGUUCCCAUGAAGCUUCACCAACAUGUCUGCCCAUAAGCUUGCUGAACAAGGAGGACUCCAAUGAACAUACCGAAGGGACAGGAAAGCCGAUGAAGUCACAGCCCUACACAAAAAAACCAUAGGCGCCAGGAGACUUCUGGGCUGAGCUCAGCGCUGCACCCUGGCAGUCCUCCCCUGGAAAACCACCAAGACCCACACAGAAGUCCACAGUCCAGAGGACCAUGGCUCCGGAGAGCUGGGGAGACCAGCGGAGAUCAACAGCAAUGACAACAGAGCAUCCAAGUUCCAGGAAUCGCUCAGCCCUCGUCGCCACCUGGCGUGGUUGAUGUCCCUGGGUAUAAUUUGGAGGCGUUAAGAUUUCUUUCUCAGCAGGGCCCUCCAGAGGUUUAAAGGCUAAAAUGAGUGGACACUGGACAAGAGUCUCUGUCAGUGAGGAGAAGUGCCUGUUCAAGAGGUCAUGCCCGCCAGCGCUUUCACAGCCUCAGGUGGCUGGCCAAGCAUCACCUCCCAGUCACUGCCUCUUUGAUCUCAGAUCUUCAGUGGUUGCGUGCAGGGAGAUAGUCAACACACAGCUAAGACUACGGCUUAAGCUUCCUGAGAACUUAGUUUCAGCCGGGCACCGUGCUGUGGUUCUUUUCGCUGGUGGCGGUUGGCCGAUUCCCUCGAUCCCUACGGAGUCCUCUGGCGUAUGCAUAGAUACUGCCACUACUUACAAAAAGGAGCAAGCACAGAGAGUAGAAGUGCACAGGCCCGCAGAGCCGGGGCACACAAGAGGCAGUGUUCAGCUCCCACGGUCCAGUCCCGGAGGCCCUGCUCCCAAGUGUUCUGCGGUAGAGUCGUUACCUCUGUGGACACAAACCCAAUCCCCGCUCAGCCUGAAAGUGGGUAAUAGCAAUGAAAUAUGGGUUACCUCUGGUUAGCGCAAGACCGUGGCCAGAUGGGACUUAGUUCCAUCUGCUUUCCGAGUCAGGGGUAAUUUGAUCUUUUAAUUUAAUAUCACUAAACGGCCACGUGCAAGAAAGGGUUGUGUGUGACCAGAUUAACAUAAUACUAUGUGUCAUGGAUGGACAUUAGCUUGAGUUCAGCUGGAUGUAACAUUUUAGGCCAAAUAUGUCAAAGGAGGAAAGAUCCUUUUAGAGCGCAAUGCUUGGAAACUAACGUUUCAAGAGUUGCAGUGAAAAGUAAGGAUUUCUCGAGACAAAGGAGCUUAGGAAUGAUUUACAGUGACCCCGAAUGAUCAGGGUGAGAUGGGGAAGCAGCUGGUACUAAAGUGGAAGAUGGAGGUACUGAGCUGCAUGGAAAUAGGGGUUGCCAUGGAAGCCUACCAUGCUGGGCAAGGCGGUUCAGAAACACAAGGGACGGCAGAGUCCAGGCCAAGGAUGUAGAUGGGCCAGAUUCUACUUGGAGAGCCCUGCGUGGCUGACAGGAUGUGUCCAAGUUGUCACCCAAACAGGGGUGAGCUACACUGAAUUUCUGCUUCAAUCAAUGGCCACAUAUUUCUUCCUUGGCAAGAGCCAGGACACAGAGAUGAGAUCACAGCUGUCUCAGGAAGUUCAUGUGCCUUCUGGGACAGAUUGGCGGGCAUGUGAUUGCAAUGCUGCAUAAUGAUUAUUUUUAUAGACUUGGCUGGAAUGUGGCUUGAAAGAGCAAAGAGGAAGCUGGUCCAAUACCGAGAAGGUGCAGUCUAAACUACAGCUUGGAGAAGAGCAUGUUUUCUAAGUGGAUGGCCGUGGAGUGCUAUCUCUCUGGACAGAGCGAGCUUCAUUUGCAGGAAGCUGAAUCAGAGCUAGGUAGGUGUGGCUGGGAAAGUGCGAUGUUGGCGUGAUACUGGAGGGCUUGAGCGGGAACAUGUGAUGGAGGAAGGCGGGCAGAACAUGAGUUCAGUUUAAGGAUUUAGUUUGUCCUGAAGGCUCUACUUGCCUGUGGUGGCUUGCAAAGGUCUCCUGCUAGGGGACUAUGCUCCAGGACAGUGUUUUUCAGCACUGUCCCCCGAGGGUCAUAGGUUCCAAGACCCCCAGUGAAUACUACAGGUUGAUCAGGUUCCUUACAUAGAAUGACACAGAUUUGCAUUUCAUGCAUGCACAUCCUUCCAGACACUUUUAGUCCCCUUUCAGUCACCUAUAAUUCCCCAAUGCAGCUAAAUGCUAUGCAGCUAAAUGCUAUGCAGCUAAAUGCUAUGCAGCUAAAUGCUAUGCAGCUAAAUGCUAUGCAGCUAAUUGCUCCACUGUACUAUUUAGGAAACAGCAGUAAGAAUAAAAGUCGGUGUGUGUUCGGUA